rnacentral:tRNA from 1 species
GCGAGUGUAGCUCAGCUGGUAGAGCGCAACCUUGCCAAGGUUGAGGUCACGAGUUCGAGCCUCGUUACUCGCUCCA